rnacentral:misc_RNA from 1 species
UUUUCGUUAGUAUGUCACGAGGCUUCAUACAGUAACUUUGCUUAUAAAAUGCCGUCUUGUGUGAUUAAAUGGUGCAAAAACAAUACCAAUGUAAACAAAAAAUCUGAAGGAAUAUCGUUUCACACGUUUCCAACGAAUAUUUUAAUAAGAGGUGAAUGGGUAGCGGCUGUAAGACUGAGAAAAUGACCACGAUUAUGCUGGCCAUGCGCAUAAAGUC